GUGAUGGCGAGCGAAAUUUAGUAGCGAAGUUCCUGAUUCCACACUGCCAAGAAAAGCCUCUAGCGAGGUGAGAGGUGCCCGUACCGCAAACCGACACAGGUAGGCGAGGAGAGAAUCCUAAGGUGAUCGAGAGAACUCUCGUUAAGGAACUCGGCAAAAUGACCCCGUAACUUCGGGAGAAGGGGUGCUUCUUAGGGUGUUAAAGCCCCGAGAAGCCGCAGUGAAUAGGCCCAGGCGACUGUUUAGCAAAAACACAGGUCUCUGCGAAGCCGUAAGGCGAAGUAUAGGGGCUGACGCCUGCCCGGUGCUGGAAGGUUAAGAGGAGCGCUUAGCGUAAGCGAAGGUGCGAAUUGAAGCCCCAGUAAACGGCGGCCGUAACUAUAACGGUCCUAAGGUAGCGAAAUUCCUUGUCGGGUAAGUUCCGACCCGCACGAAAGGCGCAACGAUCUGGGCACUGUCUCAACGAGAGACUCGGUGAAAUUAUAGUACCUGUGAAGAUGCAGGUUACCCGCGACAGGACGGAAAGACCCCGUGGAGCUUUACUGCAGCCUGAUAUUGAAUGUUGGUACAGCUUGUACAGGAUAGGUAGGAGCCUUGGAAACCGGAGCGCUAGCUUCGGUGGAGGCAUCGGUGGGAUACUACCC
rnacentral:rRNA from 1 species